rnacentral:sRNA from 1 species
UAGAAAGCUUGGUUACCUGGUGUCAUUU